GGCACUUGGGGGUCAGAGGCACUUGGGGGUCAGUGACAUUGGGGACAGUGGCACUUGGGGGACAGUGGCACUUGAGGGUCAGUGACAUUUGGGGAGAGUGGCACUUGGAGGUCAGUGACAUUUGGGGUCAGUGGCACUUGGGGGUCGGUGACAUUUGGGGUCAGUGACAUUUGGGGUCAGUGGCACUUGGGGGUCAGUGACAUUUGGGGAGAGUGGCACUUGGGGGUCCGUGGCACUUGGGGGUCAGUGGCACUUGGGGGUCAGGUGGUGACACCUCCACUCUGGGUGUCCCCAACAGUCGGUGGCACUGUCCCUUGUGUCCCCUCUGUCCCCAGUGUCCCCACUCCCAGUGUCACCUCCCAUGUUGUCCCUUCCUACAGUGUCACCUCCACUCCCGGUGUCCCCAACAGUCGGUGCCACUGUCCCUUGUGUCCCCUCUGCCCCCAGUGUCCCCAGUCCCGGUGUCACCUCCACUCCCAGUGUCCCCACUCCCAGUGUCACCUCCACUCCCGGUGUCCCCAACAGUCGGUGGCACUGUCCCUUGUGUCCCCUCUGCCCCGAAUGUCCCCACUCCCGGUGUCCCCUCCACUCCCGGUGUCCCCAACAGUCGGUGGCACUGUCCCUGCUGUCCCCUCCACUCCCAGUGUCCCCUCCCAGGGUGUCCCCUCCCAUGGUGUCCCUUCUCCCAGUGUCCCCUCCACUCUCGGUGUCCCCAACAGUCAGUGCCACUGUUCCUUGUGUCCCCUGUCCCCAUUGUCCCCUCUCCCGGUGUCCCCUCCCGUUGUGUCCCAACAGUCAGAUUCCCCUGCACUCCCUGAGUCCUCCCCACUCCGUGUCCCCCCCCAGCUCCGUGGGGUUCUGUGCUGUGGGGCUGCGGGUGUUGGUGCUGCGGGUGUUGUUGCUGCGGGUGUUGGUGCUGCGGGUGUUGGUGCUGCGGGUGUUGGUGCUGCGGGUGUUGGUGCUGUGGGUGCUGUUGAUCCCAUGGGUGUUGUUGAUGCUGCGGGUGUUGGUGCUGCGGGUGUUGGUGCUCCCAUGGGUGUUGGUGCUGCGGGUGUUGGUGCUGUGGGUGUUGGUGCUCCCAUGGGUGUUGUUGCUGCAGGUGUUGGUGCUGCGGGUGCUGUUAAUUCCGCGGGUGUUGUUACUGCGGGUGUUCUUGAUCCCGCGGGUGUUGGCACUACGGGUGUUGUUGCUGCGGGUGUUGUAGAUCCUGCAGGUGUUGUUGCUCCCAUGGGUGUUGUUGCUGCGGGUGUUGAUGCUGCGGGUGCUGUUAAUGCUGCAGGUGUUUGUGCUGCAGGUGUUGGUGCUGCGGGUGUUGUUGCUCCCAUGGGUGUUGUUGCUGCGGGUGUUGUUGCUGCGGGUGCUGUUAAUUCUGCGGGUGUUGUUUCUGCGGGUGUUGUUAAUGCUGCAGGUGUUGUUGAUCCCAUGGGUGUUGGUGCUGCGGGUGUUGGUGCUGCGGGUGUUGUUGCUGCGGGUGUUGGUGCUGCGGGUGCUGUUAAUGCUGCAGCUGUUGUCUCUGCGGGUGUUGGUGCUGCAGGUGUCAGUGCUGCGGGUGUUGUUGAUCCCAUGGGUGUUGGUGCUGUGGGUGUUGCUGAUCCCAUGGGUGUUGGUGCUGCGGGUGUUGGUGCUGUGGGUGUUGCUGAUCCCACGGGUGUCGGUGCUGCGGGUGUUGGUGCUGCGGGUGUUGGUGCUCCCAUGGGUGUUGGUGCUCCCAUGGGUGUUGGUGCUGCGGGUGUUGCUGA
rnacentral:lncRNA from 1 species